CUGUCAGCAGAGAACAAACACUGAAUAUUAUUAUAGUGGCUUGAACUUUAUAAAGUGGAUAUAUUUGGUUUCAGGAAACCUAUCCAAAAUAUUUGAUAUAUUUGUAUAGAAACUCUAAAACAUUGAAAUUGUGUAUUUUAAGUAUUUAAGUCAACAUGAGUCAAAAUCAGAGGACGGGUGAAGAGGAUGAGCGGAGAGCUUCUUUAUUUGUGAAAAUUCACUUUGUAAGAAAGGAUCAACUCUCAAUGGUGAAGGAACAGAGACUCUUUGUUGUGUUGGUAAACUAACCAAAAAUAUACCUACCUGCUUUUACUACGCAUAUGAUGUCAGCAUAGCCAGAGGCAUAUUAGAAACUAAUUGCAUUCUGUGAUGUCAUAAAAGACGGACUGUGGCGGAAAACUUUGUUCAACAGUAGGAAACACCAACAAUAUCAACAUAAUACCCUUUAUUCCUAAUAGCCAAGAAGAGGAUUCAUAAUCUAAGAACUGUCUAGGUAUUUGUUUUUUAACUUUUUACAACCACCAAUAAUGUAAAAAAUCUGAAUUAAUUAGGAGAAACAAGGUCAGUGGAGCAAACCCGAUCCUGGAUGACCACCCCAUACAUCUACUGAGUAAAGUUUUUACUAUGAA